AGUGACUUUUCCCACUCCCUGUCCCUGAGGCCCAGGCUCCGCUAUCUUUGUCUGUUUGACCUUGGGCAAAGGAUCCGCCCCCUCAGCCUCAGACUCCCCACCGGCAAAGAACUGCCGAACUGUUUUCCAAAGCAUCUGCCACUUCUCAAGUCAUGGAACUCCUUGGUGCCUCAGUUUAUCCACCUGGAAAGGGCCUCAUAAAGUGCGAUGGGAAGUAAACAGUGUAUGAAAAG